AAUGAACGCUGGCGGCAUGCCUUACACAUGCAAGUCGAACGGCAGCAUGACCUAGCUUGCUAGGUUGAUGGCGAGUGGCGCACGGGUGAGUAAUGCAUCGGAACGUGCCUUUUUGUGGGGGAUAACGUAGCGAAAGUUACGCUAAUACCGCAUAUUCUCUGAGGAGGAAAGCAGGGGACCUUCUGGCCUUGCGCUAGAAGAGCGGCCGAUGUCGGAUUAGCUAGUUGGUGAGGUAAAGGCUCACCAAGGCAACGAUCCGUAGCGGGCCUGAGAGGAUGAUCCGCCACACUGGGACUGAGACACGGCCCAGACUCCUACGGGAGGCAGCAGUGGGGAAUUUUGGACAAUGGGCGCAAGCCUGAUCCAGCCAUGCCGCGUGAGUGAAGAAGGCCUUCGGGUUGUAAAGCUCUUUCGGCUGGGAAGAAAUCGCACCCUCUAAUACAGGGUGUGGAUGACGGUACCAGCAUAAGAAGCACCGGCUAACUACGUG
rnacentral:rRNA from 1 species